GGGCGGCGCGGCGCGGCGGCAGAGGCGGCGGGCGCACGAAGAGAGCCGCAGCCAGCCCAGCUCCUCUCCGGCUGAGGCCGGGAUUUGCUCCCGACCCCUCCCUCGGUCCUCGCCCGGCCCAGACGCGCACCUGCCGGCUGCGACCGAGGGCCAUGUGGGCUCCGACCAGAAAGCCCGCAGACAGAAGCAGCCUAUAAUCGACCAAACAAGGGGUCUGCAGCCAAAGCCUCGGCACAAUGGAGGCCCCGUAUUCCAUGACAGCGCACUACGACGAGUUCCAGGAAGUCAAGUAUGUGAGCCGGUGUGGCACCGGGGGCGCUCGAGGGACCUCACUGCCUCCAGGCUUCCCGAGGGGCUCAGGGCGCAGUGCUAGCGGGUCCAGGUCUGGGCUGCCCCGCUGGAAUCGACGCGAGGUGUGCCUGCUGUCGGGGUUGGUGUUUGCUGCCGGCCUCUGCGCCAUCCUGGCGGCCAUGCUGGCGCUCAAAUACCUGGGCCCGGGAGCGGCGGGCGGUGGCGGAGCCUGUCCCGAGGGCUGCCCCGAGCGCAAGGCCUUUGCACGCGCCGCCCGCUUUCUGUCUGCCAACCUGGACGCCAGCAUCGACCCGUGCCAGGACUUCUACUCGUUCGCGUGCGGAGGCUGGCUGCGGCGCCACGCUAUCCCCGACGACAAGCUCACCUACGGCACGAUCGCGGCCAUCGGAGAGCAGAACGAGGAGCGUCUGCGGCGCCUGCUGGCGAGACCCACCGGAGGCCCCGGCGGCGCUGCGCAGCGCAAGGUGCGCGCCUUCUUCCGCUCGUGCCUCGACAUGCGCGAGAUCGAGAGGCUCGGGCCGCGGCCCAUGCUCGAGGUCAUCGAGGACUGCGGCGGCUGGGACCUGGGCGGCGCGGCCGAUCGCCCCGGGGCGGCUCGCUGGGACCUCAACCGACUGCUGUACAAGGCACAGGGUGUGUACAGCGCGGCCGCGCUCUUCUCGCUUACAGUCAGCCUGGACGACAGGAACUCCUCGCGCUACGUCAUCCGCAUUGACCAGGAUGGGCUCACCCUGCCAGAGAGAACCCUGUACCUAGCUCAAGACGAGGAGAGUGAGAAGAUCUUGGCUGCAUACAGGGUGUUCAUGCAGCGUCUACUCAGACUACUGGGAGCGGACGCUGUGGAGCAGAAGGCGCAGGAAAUCCUUCAGCUGGAACAGAGGCUGGCCAAUAUCUCUGUGUCAGAAUAUGAUGAUCUCCGUCGUGAUGUCAGCUCCGCGUACAACAAAGUGACUCUGGGGCAGCUGCAGAAGAUCAUCCCCCAUUUGCAGUGGAAGUGGCUGCUGGAUCAGAUCUUCCAGGAAGACUUCUCGGAGGAGGAGGAGGUGGUGCUGCUGGCCACAGACUACAUGCAGCAGGUGUCCCAGCUCAUCCGCUCCACACCUCGAAGGAUCCUGCACAACUACCUAGUGUGGCGUGUGGUGGUGGUUCUGAGUGAGCACCUGUCCUCACCAUUCCGAGAGGCACUGCAUGAGCUGGCCAAAGAGAUGGAGGGCAAUGACAAGCCCCAGGAGUUGGCCCGAGUCUGCCUGGGCCAGGCCAACCGCCACUUCGGCAUGGCUCUUGGUGCCCUCUUUGUACAUGAACACUUCUCAGCUGCCAGUAAAGCCAAGGUGCAGCAGCUAGUGGAAGAUAUCAAGUACAUCUUGGGCCAGCGCCUGGAGGAGCUGGACUGGAUGGAUGCCCAGACCAAGGCAGCUGCUCGGGCCAAGCUCCAGUACAUGAUGGUCAUGGUUGGCUAUCCAGACUUCCUGCUGAAACCUGAGGCUGUAGACAAAGAAUAUGAGUUCGAGGUCCACGAGAAGACCUACUUCAAGAACAUUUUGAACAGCAUCCGAUUCAGUAUCCAGUUGUCCGUCAAAAAGAUUCGACAGGAGGUGGACAAAUCCUCGUGGCUCCUCCCACCACAGGCGCUCAAUGCCUACUAUCUGCCCAACAAGAAUCAAAUGGUCUUCCCAGCUGGCAUCCUGCAGCCCACCCUGUAUGACCCAGACUUCCCACAGUCUCUGAACUACGGGGGUAUUGGCACCAUCAUUGGGCACGAACUGACCCAUGGCUAUGACGACUGGGGGGGACAGUAUGACCGCUCAGGAAACCUGUUGCACUGGUGGACUGAGACCUCCUACAGCCACUUUCUGCGCAAGGCCGAGUGCAUCGUUCGCCUCUAUGACAACUUCACCGUCUACAACCAGCGCGUGAAUGGGAAACACACACUUGGCGAGAACAUCGCAGACAUGGGAGGCCUCAAGCUGGCCUACUAUGCCUAUCAGAAGUGGGUCCGGGAGCAUGGCCCGGAGCACCCGCUGCACCGGCUCAAGUACACACACAACCAGCUUUUCUUCAUUGCCUUUGCACAGAACUGGUGCAUCAAGCGACGGUCACAGUCCAUCUACCUGCAGGUGCUGACAGACAAGCAUGCACCUGAGCACUACCGGGUCCUGGGCAGCGUAUCCCAGUUUGAGGAAUUCGGCCGGGCCUUCCACUGUCCCAAGGACUCUCCCAUGAACCCCGUCCAUAAGUGCUCUGUGUGGUGAGCCUGGCCGUCUGCCUGUCUACCUGCACGUCCCCACUGCCCUGCACGGAUCACCUCUACCAGCUGUGGGGCAACAUGAGCCCCAUGCUUCCUGCUCCGGGUCUAUCUUCCUUCCCAACCUUUAUGUGAUUGUCUUCCCGCCCCCUGCAGUCCUUCACUUAAGCGAGGGCCUGGAGCAGGGGUAAGGCUAGGUUCUGGGGGACACUCGAGGGGGAAUUAUGAGGUCCUCACACCCGGCUCUAGGCAGCUGGACCCCCCUACCGGGGCUGGAUAGGUCCCACUGAUGUGUUCUUGCUGAUUAGUCUGGUCAAUAAAGCUGCUGUACUAUAUAUAGCCUUGGCCUCCAGACAAGUGGAGAUGGAGGGUCCCUCUGGGUGGGACGCUCAGCCCUGUAACACAGAUGGGACACUGGAGAGACAUUAUGGCUCCCUCUGUUUUGGAUGCCUCUGUUUCACCUUUCUGCUAACUCCGGCUUCCUCCCUAGCCAGAUCACCUUCCACCCUCUCUCCCACAGUCAUGAAGGAACUUCCUUUAAGAGCACAGUCCAGCCCUGUGGCCUGCUGAUCUUUUACUUUUAGGGUAGCACAGGCACUUGCUGGCAGUGGAAAUCCAGUUUUUUUUUUUUUUUCAAUGUUCCAGCCAGGCCUUGAUUGCCUCAGCUUCACCUUUGGGAAGGUGACUGGGGCCCCAGGUUCCAUCGACAUGGAGCCAGCCUUCAUAGCAUCUGGCCUUCCACAGUCUGGAGGGAGGGAUGCUAUGUGAGCUAAGUAGUGGUAGGUAAUUAGCUGAGGGACCCCAGACACAACCAGUGGUGGAAAGGAUUCUGCCUGGGCUGCCCACUGGCGCUGCUCAGUUGUGUGUGUGUGGGGGGAGAGGGGGGACGGUACCAGGUGAGAAGAGCACCGUGUUGGGCAGCCUGACGGUCCCUGCGUGUACAAGGAAAGAAGCCAAUGGGCACUGCCUUUCCUCCCAGGUAGUUUUUUUUUUUUUUCUUCCUUCAAUGGCCCAUCUCCACUUCGCCAUGGCAGUCUCUUACCAGUCCAGUGCUGACUGGUGUGCUCAGAGAAUGUCUGACCAGUGUCUCCAGCUUCAGGUGACAUUUAAAAAGUCCUAAUUGUCUCAGCUUGGGCUACAAUAGUGUGGCCCUGAUGAGGGAGCAGGCUCUGAGAAGGAGACCCUGGAGUGGCCAGUCUAGGAGGCCAGUCUUCCUCCUAGUCUAUGGUGAUCACAGAGGAGUCCCAGGUGUUGGGAAAGACUGCAUUGGGCACACAGCCCAGCUCAGAACUGCUUGGCGGGGACAUUUUCAUGGCAUGCGCCUUAGAGGUGAGUCCCACACAGGAAUGGUUUCUAGACCUUCUCACCCGGGCUGGGUACAGGUUACCAUGCCCCUUGGGAAGUUGGAUCAAAGGACACUUGCCUUGACCUGUGAGAUAUUUUGGGGUCCUGAUGUCUGAGACUGCCUCCAUGUCCUCACCCUUCUAGCCUGGGUAUAGGGAGAACUGAGGCUCCAGACCCAGCCUCUAAGUCACUAUCAAGAUUCCCCAGCUGAUGUCCAAUUCCUUCCACCACUGUGGACACCGCUCAGGAAGGCCUCAGGGCAGCAGGCCGGCUCUCCCCACUACAACUCGACCCUGCUGAGGACAUCAGUGUGGUUCUGGGAGAAGACUGUCCCAGCAGGUCGCCUGAGGCCCAGUGUCACCCACUGCUUCCCCACUGUUGUUGCAGGGUCUACGAAGGGGCUUCUUGUGAAACCAGGACGCUCUGGGCUUCGGAACCAGCAGCCUGCUGUUCAGGUUUAGGCCGCUGAACAGCAAUUGAUCUGCAGGAGGUGGUCCUUGGGAGAAUUCAUGGAGAAAAAUCCACCCUUAAUCAUGCUAUUUAUAAUUCCUUCACAUGCUUCGAGGAGGACUCAGGACAAUGAGAAGCUCAGCCCAUCCUCCCCAGGGAGGUCCUUGCUUUAUAAGCUCACUUGUCAUUGUGUUUCGAAGCCCAUGGAUUUGUACGGCAUGUAACUGACUGAGGGACCUUGGCAGCUUUACAGAGGAGCGCCGAUCUCUGUCUCAUCUACCAGGCAGUCAUCGGGCCCUGUCUUCAGUACCAUCAAGGACUGGGGACUCUGUCUCUCUUUCCGGUUGAAAGAAAAGGCUGUCCUGACCCCACCCGGCCUUUCCUACAGUCCUCGUGAUGAGCUGGAGCCCACACUCUGGGCCCUCACCACCGACACCAUAAUUUCUUCCUUUAUCUAAGGCAAACAUAGCCCCCUUCCCUCACGGGUGUUACCCCGUCUCUGCCAACCACCCUCCUCCUUUGUUCUGACUUAUUCAUGGGACAUGAGUUGUGGCUCAUUUGGAGCCUCUGGGAUUGCCUCAGGUGAGGAGCCUCAGCUUUUGUUUCCGUGUAACCUACCUUUGGGGUGUCUUCCUGUAUGCUCCAUGGGUUAUAGCCCCCAUACUCUACUGUCCAUAGAUAGCUGCUGGUGGUAUAAAGGUGAGCAUAGCUGGUU